rnacentral:rRNA from 1 species
AGUAACGGCGAGUGAAGCGGCAACAGCUCAAAUUUGAAAUCUGGCCCCUAGGGUCCGAGUUGUAAUUUGCAGAGGAUGCUUUUGGCGAGGUGCCUUCCGAGUUCCCUGGAACGGGACGCCAUAGAGGGUGAGAGCCCCGUCUGGUCGGACACCAAGCCUCUGUAAAGCUCCUUCGACGAGUCGAGUAGUUUGGGAAUGCUGCUCUAAAUGGGAGGUAUAUGUCUUCUAAAGCUAAAUAUAGGCCAGAGACCGAUAGCGCACAAGUAGAGUGAUCGAAAGAUGAAAAGCACUUUGAAAAGAGGGUUAAAAAGUACGUGAAAUUGUUGAAAGGGAAGCGCCUAUGACCAGACUUGGGCCCGGUGAAUCAUCCAGCGUUCUCGCUGGUGCACUUUGCCGGGCACAGGCCAGCAUCAGUUUGGCUCGGGGGAAAAAGGCUUUGGGAACGUAGCUCCUCGGAGUGUUAUAGCCCUUUGCAUAAUACCCUGGGCCGGACUGAGGACCGCGCAUCUGCAAGGAUGCUGGCGUAAUGGUCAUCAGCGACCCGUCUUGAAACACGGACCAAGGAGUCGUCUUCGUAUGCGAGUGUUCGGGUGUAAAACCCCUACGCGUAAUGAAAGUGAACGCAGGUGAGAGCUUCGGCGCAUCAUCGACCGAUCCUGAUGUUCU